AAUUUCUUAUUUUCUCUAACGUAUCAAAUGGUCAAUCCUCCCGGAUUGGCUGGAGAUACGGAGGUCAUCUGAUUUGUAUCCUUUGUUCAGGAAUGUAAAAUGAACUUAAAUGUGCUGAUUUUUUCUUUCUAAUUCAGUGAAUAGUUUAUUUUAAAGAAAUCUUAAUUAUAUUUGGGUUUUUUAAAGUUUGCUUUUGAAUUCUUUUUUCUUCCUCUUUUUAACAAACUAAGAUGAUUGCAGUUCUACUUUGAAAGAAGUGAAAUAAUUAUCUUGAAGAAAGGUAGCAAAGAAGGAACAGGAAGUGACCUGUACUAUCUUGUAACCACAAAUGACUUCACCUAGCUAUCAGAGGAAAGAAUGGAGCUGAUAGUUUUCACCACAACCAAUUACAUCAUGGAUUCUUUUCCGGUUAGGUUCAGAAUUGAUCACUUGUGGAAAAGAAAAAAUUCAUACUUCUGACUCACUAUAUACUAAGAGAAAUCCACAAAUUCUUAAUAAAUGAUUUUAAGGG